UACGUAGGGGGCAAGCGUUGUCCGGAAUUAUUGGGCGUAAAGCGCGCGCAGGCGGUUUUUUAAGUCGGAUGUAUAAUCUCCAGGCUCAACCUGGAGUCGCAUCCGAAACUGGGGAACUGGAGUGCAGGAGAGGAGAGCGGAAUUCCACGUGUAGCGGUGAAAUGCGUAGAGAUGUGGAGGAACACCAGUGGCGAAGGCGGCUCUCUGGCCUGUAACUGACGCUGAGGCGCGAAAGCGUGGGGAGCAAACAGG
rnacentral:rRNA from 1 species